GACAACACCACUUGGACACUCACCACACUGCCUGCUGGGCACCAAGCCAUCGGGAUCAAGUGGGUGUUCAAGCUGACGAAGGACGAGCACGGUGCCAUUGUCAAGCACAAGGCGUGCCUCGGCGCAAAGGGCUAUGUGCAGCGUGAGGGAGUGGACUUUGAGGAAGUCUUCACUCCGGUGGCAAGGCUGGAGUCCGUGCGGCUCAUCCUUGCCGUGGCUGCUCACCGCGGGUGGGAGGUACACCACAUGGAUGUCAAGUCGGCGUUUCUCAACGGCGACCUUAAUGAGGAUGUGUACGUCUCCCAG
rnacentral:rRNA from 1 species